rnacentral:rRNA from 1 species
GUGGGGAAUCUUGCGCAAUGGGCGAAAGCCUGACGCAGCCAUGCCGCGUGAAUGAUGAAGGUCUUAGGAUUGUAAAAUUCUUUCACCGGGGACGAUAAUGACGGUACCCGGAGAAGAAGCUCCGGCUAACUUCGUGCCAGCAGCCGCGGUAAUACGAAGGGGGCUAGCGUUGCUCGGAAUUACUGGGCGUAAAGGGCGCGUAGGCGGACAGCUUAGUCAGAGGUGAAAGCCCAGGGCUCAACCUUGGAAUUGCCUUUGAUACUGGCUGUCUUGAGUUUGGGAGAGGUGAGUGGAACUCCUAGUGUAGAGGUGGAAUUCGUAGAUAUUAGGAAGAACACCAGUGGCGAAGGCGGCUCACUGGUCCGGUACUGACGCUGAGGUGCGAAAGCGUGGGGAGCAAACAGGAUUAGAUACCCUUGUAGUCC